rnacentral:rRNA from 1 species
CCUACGGUGAGCAGCAGUGGGGAAUAUUGCACAAUGGGGGGAACCCUGAUGCAGCGACGCCGCGUGGGUGAAGAAGUGAUUCGGUAUGUAAAGCUCUAUCAGCAGGGAAGAAAAUGACGGUACCUGAAUAAGAAGCCCCGGCUAACUACGUGCCAGCAGCCGCGGUAAUACGUAGGGGGCAAGCGUUAUCCGGAUUUACUGGGUGUAAAGGGGGCGUAGACGGCCGUGCAAGUCUGGAGUGAAAGGCGGGGGCUCAACCCCCGGACUGCUCUUGAAACUGGCUGGCUGGAGUGCAGGAGAGGGAGGUGGAAUUCCUGGUGUAGCGGUGAAAUGCGUAGAUAGUAGGAGGAACACCAGUGGCGAAGGCGGCCUACUGGACUGUAACUGACGUUGAGGCUCGAAAGCGUGGGGAGCAAACAGGAUUAGAUACCCCGGUAGUC